GACGAACGCUGGCGGCGUGCUUAACACAUGCAAGUCGAACGGAAAGGCCCUGCUUUUGUGGGGUGCUCGAGUGGCGAACGGGUGAGUAACACGUGAGUAACCUGCCCUUGACUUUGGGAUAACUUCAGGAAACUGGGGCUAAUACCGGAUAGGAGCUCCUGCUGCAUGGUGGGGGUUGGAAAGUUUCGGCGGUUGGGGAUGGACUCGCGGCUUAUCAGCUUGUUGGUGGGGUAGUGGCUUACCAAGGCUUUGACGGGUAGCCGGCCUGAGAGGGUGACCGGCCACAUUGGGACUGAGAGACGGCCCAGACUCCUACGGGAAGCAGCAGUGGGGAAUAUUGCACAAUGGGCGGAAGCCUGAUGCAGCAACGCCGCGUGCGGGAUGACGGCCUUCGGGUUGUAAACCGCUUUCGCCUGUGACGAAGCGUGAGUGACGGUAAUGGGUAAAGAAGCACCGGCUAACUACGUG
rnacentral:rRNA from 1 species